rnacentral:rRNA from 1 species
UACGGAGGAUGCAGGCGUUAUCCGGAUUUAUUAGGUUUAAAGGGUGCGCAGGCGGGAUAUUAAGUCGGCGGUGAAAUACCGUAGCCCAACUACGGGGCUGCCGUCGAUACUGAUAACCUUGAGUCCUGGCGAGGUGAGCGGAAUGUGGAGUGUAGCGGUGAAAUGCAUAGAUAUUCCACAGAACACCGAUUGCGAAGGCAGCUCACCAGCCUCAGACUGACGCUCAUGCACGAAAGCGCGGGUAG